UACACUCCUGCGGGAGGCAGCAGUGGGGAAUUUUGGACAAUGGGCGAAAGCCUGAUCCAGCAAUGCCGCGUGAGUGAAGAAGGCCUUCGGGUUGUAAAGCUCUUUUGUCAGGGAAGAAACGGUGAGAGCUAAUAUCUUUUGCUAAUGACGGUACCUGAAGAAUAAGCACCGGCUAACUACGUGCCAGCAGCCGCGGUAAUACGUAGGGUGCAAGCGUUAAUCGGAAUUACUGGGCGUAAAGCGUGCGCAGGCGGUUUUGUAAGUCUGAUGUGAAAUCCCCGGGCUCAACCUGGGAAUUGCAUUGGAGACUGCAAGGCUAGAAUCUGGCAGAGGGGGGUAGAAUUCCACGUGUAGCAGUGAAAUGCGUAGAUAUGUGGAGGAACACCGAUGGCGAAGGCAGCCCCCUGGGUCAAGAUUGACGCUCAUGCACGAAAGCGUGGGGAGCAAACAGGAUUAGAUACCCCAGUAGUCCC
rnacentral:rRNA from 1 species